ensembl:lncRNA
AUAUAUAUAUUAAUAUAUAUAUAUAUAUAUAUGUCUGUGUUAUGCUUACUAUACACUUUUAUAAACUAUGUUUUGAUAAUUCAUUUCUUAACAGAAGAACUUGUCCAUAUACUAUAAUCGUUACUGCUGAUUACUGAAAAUAAAUAGCUGAACAAAUCCGUGUGUUCAAUGGGUUCUGCUCAUCUACAUCGAGUCACGUGACCUCCCUGCUUGCUUCAUUAGGGACGAUACCGUUUAUUUAUGUGUAAUCAUUAUUGUGUGUCGUCAUAGUGUGUCAUUAAAAUGUCAUGAGUUGUGUGAGGGAGCAGUGUGUUGCUAGAGGGCACGUCGGCGAGGAAAUAAACCGCAGAUCCUCUUUUUGAUUAAUGGCACUCGACCACCGAGCAGUCACCCCACGAAAAACGAUGUCAUAAAACAUGGAAUGUUGUCAAAUAUGAUAGUAUAAUAUGUCAUAGGAGUAAAUAAAAAGCUUCUACAAUUUCAUUUGACGCUGACGUUACAUCUGAUAAUUCUGCUGUCUAACAUAGUAACUCUAAUUGGAAGGCUAGUAAUGCUAACAUGAAGGCUAACACAGCACAGCUAGUAAUGCUAACAUGAAGGCUAACACAGCACAGCUAGUAAUGCUAACAUGAAGGCUAACAGCACAGCUAGUAAUGCUAACAUGAAGGCUAACACAGCACAGCUAUUAAUGCUAACAUGAAGGCUAACAGCACAGCUAGUAAUGCUAACAUGAAGGCUAACACAGCACAGCUAGUAAUGCUAACAUGAAGGCUAACACAGCACAGCUAGUAAUGCUAACAUGAAGGCUAACAGCACAGCUAGUAAUGCUAACAUGAAGGAUAACAGCACAGCUAGUAAUGCUAACAUGAAGGCUAACAGCACAGCUAGUAAUGCUAACAUGAAGGCUAACACAGUAAGUAGUGACUUGGUUUUUGGAUUCUGCCAUCUGCUGGUUAUAAUGUGUGAAACUACUCCACCUGCAUGUCACUGAUGGUGUUCCACGCAUCCCCUAAUUGUGAGGCUUUUUUAAAAUAACGUCUCCAAAGAAUUUUGGGGGGACGAGUCGUAUUUAAAGUGUUUUGCCGGGAAAACACUUUUCAUGGCUCGCCGCCAACUUGUAAGUCAAUUUUGGCGCCGAGGAAUCUGUUGCACGUGGAGUGAAUCUGCAGACUGCUUCUCAUUACUACUGGAGAAUAUAUGAUAUAUACGAUAUGUUUCCAGCAUUGAUGGUAAUUUGGGGAACACAGCGGUUCCUGCAGAGCGGCUCCCGGUAUCUCACAGUCCAGCUGAGUUUUGGAUUUCAGUGUUAUUCUGCAAUUUUGUUCAUACACCAUUGAAACAUCCAGCUCAGGGAUCGGCUGAGAUUCCAACCUCCAUAACGCCACAAACCGCAGCGACUCACGACUUCCUGUUUCCUGCUACGCAACACAACAGCCUUUCAGAUCAGAGGAGACACAAGACGAUAAAAACGUCCUCUUCUUCUGUUGACACUGAAGACGUGUAGCAGAGAGACAAGUCCUGCUCAAACAGUGUCCAAUACAGUGUUCCCAAUGAUGAAGACGAUGAUGAUGAUGUGGAGCAGGGAUGCAGAGGAGCUUGUGACCUUCUCAGCUCAUAAGCUUUAUUUCAACCAACCACGUGCCGGCUGACGGGUUCAUCAGUCGAGCAAACGAGUCGUGAAGUAUCGGCAACCAGACGGAACAGAAUCGAUAUGAAACGCAGAACGAGCCUCUUGUCUGUCGGAAGCGAUUCGCACUGAUGGAGUCAGACUGGCUUCCUCGUGAGAUUCAAUGUGUGUUUGGGAAGCAAAGAUUGCUAAUUAGCAUUAGCUUUCCAUUAGCUCCCGCGGUUUUCGGCCUCGGCGGUCGACCUGGCCGGCGCCCUGAUGUGGAGGGUCAAACGUAUAAAACAUAAGUUCAUCUUUUUAGGCUCCAAAAUGAAAACGGCUGACGACGCUGCGCUUUUCAGAAAGACAUUUUCACGUGGUCACAACUCAUGAUUUAUUUACUACAAAACAUUAUUCAAAAUGAACCAAACACCUUUGUAUUAUAAUUCCAGGGUUUCUCCUAGUUUACAACUUUGCAGGGGGAGCGGUUCUCGUUUCUAUUUCUGUACAGACACAUGGACACACAUACGCCACAUGUGUAUAUAUAUAUGUGUAUAUAUAUAUGUAUAUAUAUGGUCAUGUAUAUGACCAGAUAGAAACGAUCAAAACACUAAACUGACCUAAUUUACCUGUAGGACUUCAGAAAAGCAAAAACACACAUGAACAAAGCAAAACAGCAACAUUAGGUUUAUAUUUCAGAUAAAAUGUGAUCUGAUCAAAAUACUCAAAUGUGAAUUCAUCCAAUGAUGAAAAUGUCCCCCUCAAAAAGGUUUGUUUGAUAAAAACUACCCAAAAACACUACCCUAAAAUCAUUUAUUUAUUUUAACCCUAAAAGUUAUACAUGGAAAUAAUUGGAAUGGAAUUAAAGAAACUACCAAAAUAUCAGUUUUUUACUAAGUUUACUGUAAUAAUAGUUAAAAGAUGACUUAAUCUUAAAAGUUAAACUCGUCAAGCUGGAAUGAAAUGUAAGAAAUUAGGAUAAUUACUUAAUAUUCUGCAAUAAGAGGUUAGACAUCUUUAUUUAUAUAAUCUAUAUCUCAUUUUCUUUCCUGAACAAAUUAUCUUUUUUUUAAUUAACAAAAAAAGUCAGGACAUAAAGAAAAGAAAAGUUAAGGAAAAAUGAUCCAUAUAAAACAAUUAGUCAUUCUUCAAAGCUUUAAUGAAUAAGAAGAUGCUAAAAUGUAUGCAAAAAUAAAACUUCAAUAACAGAAUCAUUUUCAUCCCGAGGUUUGAACUGAUAUUUACCAAUAAAAUCCUUCCAGCUGCUGCACAGACUGAAACCUCUGGAGGAGCAAAGUGUGAGCAAAGGAGACAUGAGACCAAGUACACUGAACAAUCCGUUUCUUUAUUCAUUUUUUGUUUUCAUUUCAAUAUGUCUGUCAGGGUUUUUUUUGUUGAAGAUUUUAUUUUAAAUUAAAAUUUUGACACACUUAUAAAAGACAGCAUCUGCAUAGAGUUGUCAUCUUAAAGAUCCAUGAAGGGGGGGGGGUAAAAGGGGAGGGAUACUGGCACGUCACAUGAACUAAACAGAACAGCCAACAGCAGUACGAGAGAGGAGGGGGAGGAGGGGGAGGACAGGGAGGAAGGGUGGGACGGGGCGUGGAGGGGGGACAGAUCUCUUUUACAUUACGCUACGCACACAUACACACAAAAAAGAAACGGGAGACAAGUUGCAUUUCCAGUCAAAGUUGUUGUGGAGAGCGACGCUCUGUCCUUCAGUGGGUGUGUUGUUUUAGUGACCCCCCCUCUUGUCUUACCCCCCCCUGCAUUCUGAGUUAAAGCUGUGAAUGGGGUCCCUGCUGGAGGCGUGAGCUCAUCAUGGACAAAAGCCCUGGUUUCUCUGAAUAUUUAUAUCGCGCGUUGCAGUCGGCCUUUGAGGCCGGACCCGCCGACCCACAUGGGGGGGGGGGGGGGGGGGGUAACUUCGUCCUCAGAACGUUUGAAGGCGCGAAGCUGCUUCCGAUGAGGAGCUCAGCUUUGAGUGGCUUCCCCAUCUUUGAGAAACUGACACUAAAACCUCCUCCAGGAACCCGGACAAAUACGUGAUGGUGAGCGGCCCAUUGACUUACAGUGGGACUGAGACGAGGUCAGACCAUUGACUUACAGUGGGACUGAGACGAGGUCAGACCAUUGACUUACAGUGGGACUGAGACGAGGUCAGACCAUUGACUUACAGUGGGACUGAGACGAGGUCAGUCCAUUGACUUACAGUGGGACUGAGACGAGGUCAGACCAUUGACUUACAGUGGGACUGAGACAAGGUCAGACCAUUGACUUACAGUGGGACUGAGACGAGGUCAGACCAUUGACUUACAGUGGGACUGAGACGAGGUCAGACCAUUGACUUACAGUGGGACUGAGACCAUUGAUUUACACCUGAUGGUGAUUUGGUUUUUACUAAAAGAAACCUCUCCACGAUCAGUAAAUCAACACGGCACGUCUUUGUCAACAAUGCUCAAAUUUGCCGCCAUCCUUGAUCUGCACAUGCUAGCGAAGGUUAGCAGUGGGUGCUAGCGAAGGUUAGCAGUGGGUGCUAGCGAAGGUUAGCAGUGGGUAUGGGCUAAUUGCUGGGGUACAUGGUAGGUAGAGAGACCGGGUGGUGGGUAGCUGUGGUCGAGAGAGUCAGACAGACAAGCAGAGAGAGAGAGAGAGACCCGCUAAGUGAGGGGGGGGGAUUAACUCUUCUAAUAUGGAGGGAAGCACUUUCAUCAGAGGAGCCAGUGGGCGGAGCCUCUGGGACAGGUAUGAUUGACGUAGGUGUGAUUGUGGCCGGGUUUUCUUUCCACUUGUAAACGGGUUCCGAGUUCAUUUGAGGAAAACAACAACAACAACACCGUUUUUGUUUUUGUUUUUUAAAAGCAGUGUCUGAACUGAGCGAGACAAACGAAGACGCUGGAAGCUUUGUGUGUCUGUCUCUCUGCUGUCGUCUCUCAACCACGCGGAGAGCAAAGACGAUCGGGAGGGAGGACAGAGAUCAAGCUACUCGUCAACUUUGAAGGGAAUAGAUAUCUCAGUAGAUUUAUACAUAGACAUGCAAGUCAUUUUUUCUCUCUUUGAAGUUAUUUACAAUAAUUACAUAACACAAAUAAUCCAGUUUCAUUUUGACAAAAUUGCGAGCAUUCAAUAUUCAAUAUUACUAGUAUUAUUUAUUAUAGCAUAACUCCUUUUGUACUUCAUUGCUAUUACAGAAUCAUUACACCCUUUUUAAAAGUCGCCCUCUGUUUUUUGCAAAUGUUUUCCUGCAUUAAUAUUUGUCAUUUAUGGUAAUAAUAAUAAUAAUAAUAAUGAGGAUAAUAGCAAUGUCAUUUAAGUUUCCUACUUGCUGUGACAGGGAAUGUGUGGGCGUGGCCUAGCUUAUUGCCCCUCCCCCAUGACUCCUCCCCUCUCCCUACAAAGGAUAAAUAACUAUGAUUGGAACCCAAUCGUGCGAUGGAGAGCGAGCAGAAUGAAGCAAACAACAAACAAGUAAACAAACGCCUCCACUUCAUAAUCAUCAACAGGUUGUUGUUUUUCACUGAGAAACGAUUCUUCAGGAAGACAAAAAUCAUCACGUUGAAAGAGUUUAAUCGUCCGAGCUACAGAAAGUCUCCUUUCAGCACCCGUGUGCGGCGCUACACGCGGUCACUUCCACACAGGCUAGCGGCCAGCGGCUAGCAGCUAGCGGCUAACGGCUAACGGCGAGUCAAUCUUUGGCAACCAAACUCUCUCUUUAUGAUUUUAUUUUGCUUCCCGCUGUCAAAAAAACUGUAGAGCCAACAGAAGUGGUCGUGGUUUCACACACACACACACACACACACACACACACACACACACACACACACAGCUAUAGAAACGCAGUAUGUUGAUGUACGAUUUAUAUAUAUAAAUUGUAUAAAAGCAAAUCUCAAAUCCCAAACAAAAGGUGACUAAUUUUGCAUCAAAACAUUACGACUUUUGUCCGCUGCUUCACUCGAGUCCUUGAACGGGUUCCAGACAAACCAGACGAGAAGAAGAAACAGACUAACGAGCCAGAAGAACAUCUAAACCCUAAAAAGGUGACAUGAGCGCAGGAACCGACAGAACAAUACAAACAAAUGAAGAAGAACAGCGAAAUCUUUAAAUAGAAGAAAGCACCACGUGGCCUCGGCCUCGAGUAGAGAAGCUAAUAUGCUAAUUAUCAUAAUUGAUGCUCAUGAGUAAAGGAAAGGGGGGCGCGCAGCGGCUUGGGGGCCGUUGUUGUUGUUUAGUAACAUUUAGAGGUUUUGUUACGACAUAUUUUUACUGUUUGUAACAAAUAUCUUUAUUAAGUUUAAACUUUGUGCUCUUUGAUUUUGGCGCAAAUCAUUUUUUGAUUACAUGAAGGGGGCGCUUUGGUUUGAAUGUUAAUAAAUAAUAACAGCGAUCAUAGCGUCCUAUAAAUAUGUUGGAUCUCUUCUUCCAUCUGUCAACAAUGAAAACAAACAAACAAAAGUGGAAUUCAUCAAGCGGCUUCGCACAUCUAAACCAACUGGACGCGCACAGGUUGAACCGGGUUCACUGACAGGAGGCCCGAGGGGGCCGGGGGGCCCAAUAACACACAACACGCAUCCAUGGAAGCAAACAGCACACAGAUGGUAACCGAGGUAAUCCGGGGGGGUGACAGGGGUUGGAGGUCACUGACGGGGGCAAAGAUGGCUGUAAGUAACGGCAGCAUAUUUCAAAAGUUCUGCUUUGAAAAGUUCCCCUCAGUCCUUCUAACUCCGACCAAGUGACCAACUAAUCACGUGUUUAACCUUUGAGAUUCAAAACCAGCCGAGAUCGCAAGUAGGAACAAGUAGUCAGCUAACGUGCUAAUGUGCAACCCAACAUCAGGUCGGCUGAGCGGUAAAGUGCUCGACAUGGAGGGCAGGUUGAGGGUGGGGUACAAAAAACACCAUCAUGCAAACUCCACAACGCUUGCAUGCCUUUUUUAUUACCAUUGUUAUUAUUGAUGUGAUCAGUAUAAUCAUCGUUACACACGGCGGGGGGGCGAGGGCCCCCGGGGACGGGAGCUCUCAGGCUCUCAGGCUCAAUACUCUUUUUUUUCCGUACAACCAACGACACAAACAGGAAAAAGGAAGACAGAAGGGCGAAAAUCACAGGAACGUCACAGGAAACACAGCAAGAGACCCUCAUGCCGCUGCUCUGCCUUCCGCCGGCUAAACAUCGGAACGCCCACAACAACCGCCCACAACAACCGCCCACAACCGCCCACAACAACCGCUCACAACAACCGCCCACAACAACCGCCCACAACCGCCCACUACAACCGCCCACAACAAUCGCCCACAACAACCGCCCACAACAACCCGCCCACAACAACCGCCCACAACCGCCCACAACAACCGCCCACAACAACCGCCCACAACCGCCCACAACCGCCCACAACGACCGCCCACCGUGAUCUUUAGAGGGAAACCCAACAUGGUUUGAGAGCUCCGCGGAGACACCUGGGAAAUGUAGUUAAAACAACUGGUUAAAUCCCUUUGUGAACAGAUUCAGUGUCUGUUGUACAUCUAAAAAACACUCAGAAAGACGGGAUGAAUCUACCAACACUACAGCAGAGAAAAGUGCUUCAUUCUACAUCUACGGAUCUACACGUCUACUGGACUGAUGCUGCUCGGAGGGCUCGUGUUUGCUAAGCUUUGGUCAACACAGAAAUUUUGGUUUUGGGAAGUAAAAGAAUAAAAGAAAAAGUCCCACAUCCACUCUUCUCCAAACCUGGAGCUCAAAGCCCUCGUUUCUUUAUUUAAUCUAGCGACAAAUAUCACAGACAUCGAUGGGUAACGGCGCUAAUCACUAUCUAUCACUACGACGCCCAAAGACACACGUGUUCAACAAGCAGCUCCGCUCAGCGACCGGAAGGAGCCUCGUCGGGACGUAAAGACGUCCAGAGGAGCCUAAAGACGCGUAAAGACGUCCAGAGGAGCCUAAAGACG